rnacentral:rRNA from 1 species
GACGAACGCUGGCGGCGUGCCUAACACAUGCAAGCCGAGCGGAGAUUAUAGCAAUAUAAUCUUAGCGGCGGACGGGUGAGUAACGCGUGGGUAACCUGCCUCAUACAGGGGGAUAACACUGGGAAACUAGUGCUAAUACCGCAUGAAACAAUUUUGUGGCAUCACAGAAUUGUCAAAGGAGCAAUCCGGUAUGAGAUGGACCCGCGUCUGAUUAGCUAGUUGGUGGGGUAAAAGCCUACCAAGGCGACGAUCAGUAGCCGAACUGAGAGGUUGAUCGGCCACAUUGGGACUGAGACACGGCCCAGACUCCUACGGGAGGCAGCAGUGGGGAAUAUUGCGCAAUGGGGGAAACCCUGACGCAGCAACGCCGCGUGAAGGAUGAAGGUUUUCGGAUUGUAAACUUCUUUGAUUGGGGACGAAACAAAUGACGGUACCCAAAAAACAAGCCACGGCUAACUACGUGCCAGCCGCCGCAGUAACAC